rnacentral:lncRNA from 1 species
CCAUUGAAUUUAACACCAAUAGCCUUCUCAAUCCCCCAAACAUCAUUAACCACCAUCUCCUUAUCACCAUGCAAAACAACUCAAUUUUUCCAAUCAUUAUUUGACUGACGCCUGAGAAGUAUUUGAACAAAUAUUUUCAUCCCCCACAUGACUCUGUCGUCCACUUGUGGCCAGCCUUAGACGCCGUUGAUGUCUUUGUUGUUUCAAUUCUUUAAGAACCACCUUUCUUUGUUUUAUCCACCCUUUUAAAUAGGGUUUGAUGAUUUAAUUCUCUAACUAGUUGUCUGGAGACUUUUGAAUCAUCUUUAUAUGGCUUCAACGACAAAUUGGUUUUACACAUGAUAUGUUUCAUGAUUCGCCAUGGAGAAGAGCAUACUCUUGCCUUUAGUGAUUAUUCUUCUAACACUUUUCCUUCUCUUCUUAUUUCCAUGGU